UGGUUCCAUCAGAUUCUUAGAGGGAGAGCAGCGAGUAUAGCUGCAGGAGAUUGAGCAAUAACAGGUCUGUGAUGCCCUUAGAUGUCCUGGGCCGCACGCGCGCUACACUGAAUGGGUUAGCGGGUUGUCA
rnacentral:rRNA from 1 species